UAGGGAAUCUUCCGCAAUGGACGCAAGUCUGACGGAGCAACGCCGCGUGCGUGAAGAAGGAUUUCGGUUCGUAAAACUCUGUUGUUAGAGAAGAACAGCGCAUAGAGUGACUGUUAUGCGUGUGACGGUAUCUAACCAGAAAGCCACGGCUAACUACGUGCCAGCAGCCGCGGUAAUACGUAGGUGGCAAGCGUUGUCCGGAUUUAUUGGGCGUAAAGCGAGCGCAGGCGGUCAAUUAAGUCUGAUGUGAAAGCCCCCGGCUCAACCGGGGAGGGUCAUUGGAAACUGGUUGACUUGAGUGCAGAAGAGGAGAGUGGAAUUCCAUGUGUAGCGGUGGAAUGCGUAGAUAUAUGGAGGAACACCAGUGGCGAAGGCGACUCUCUGGUCUGUAACUGACGCUGAGGCUCGAAAGCGUGGGUAGCAAACAGG
rnacentral:rRNA from 1 species